UACGUAGGGAGCAAGCGUUGUCCGGAAUUACUGGGUUUAAAGGGUGCGUAGGCGGCCAUGUAAGUCAGGAGUGAAAGUUUGCGGCUCAACCGUAAAAUUGCUUUUGAUACUGCAUGGCUGGAAUCAGGAUGAGGUCAGCGGAAUGUGGCAUGUAGCGGUGAAAUGCAUAGAUAUGCCAUAGAACACCAAUUGCGAAGGCAGCUGGCUAGACCUGUAUUGACGCUGAGGCACGAAAGCGUGGGGAGCGAACAGG
rnacentral:rRNA from 1 species